GACGAACGCUGGCGGCGUGCUUAACACAUGCAAGUCGAACGGAAAGGCUCCAGCUUGCUGGAGUACUCGAGUGGCGAACGGGUGAGUAACACGUGGGUAAUCUGCCCUGCACUCUGGGAUAAGCCUGGGAAACUGGGUCUAAUACUGGAUAUGACCUUUCUCCUUAUGGGGUUUGGUGGAAAGUUUUUCGGUGUAGGAUGAGCCCGCGGCCUAUCAGCUUGUUGGUGGGGUGAUGGCCUACCAAGGCGACGACGGGUAGCCGGCCUGAGAGGGUGAUCGGCCACAUUGGGACUGAGAUACGGCCCAGACUCCUACGGGAGGCAGCAGUGGGGAAUAUUGCACAAUGGGCGGAAGCCUGAUGCAGCGACGCCGCGUGAGGGAUGACGGCCUUCGGGCUGUAAACCUCUUUCAGCAGGGACGAAGCGUAAGUGACGGUACCUGCAGAAGAAGCACCGGCUAACUAUGUG
rnacentral:rRNA from 1 species